rnacentral:rRNA from 1 species
CCUACGGGAGGCAGCAGUGAGGAAUAUUGGUCAAUGGACGAGAGUCUGAACCAGCCAAGUAGCGUGAAGGAUGACUGCCCUAUGGGUUGUAAACUUCUUUUAUAUGGGAAUAAAAUGUUCCAAGUGUGGGAUUUUGUAUGUACCAUAUGAAUAAGGAUCGGCUAACUCCGUGCCAGCAGCCGCGGUAAUACGGGGGCUCCGAGCGUUAUCCGGAUUUAUUGGGUUUAAAGGGAGCGUAGGUGGAUUGUUAAGUCAGUUGUGAAAGUUUGCGGCUCAACCAUAAAAUUGCAGUUGAAACUGGCAGUCUUGAGUACAGUAGAGGUAGGCGGAAUGCGUGGUGUAGCGGUGAAAUGCUUAGAUAUCACGAAGAACUCCGAUUGCGAAGGCAGUUCACUGGACUGCAACUGACACUGAGGCUCGAAAGUGUGGGUAUCAAACAGGAUUAGAUACCCUAGUAGUC